UACGAAGGGGGGCUAGCGUUGCUCGGAAUCACUGGGCGUAAAGGGUGCGUAGGCGGGUCUUUAAGUUAGGGGUGAAAUCCUGGAGCUCAACUCCAGAACUGCCUUUGAUACUGAGGAUCUUGAGUUCGGGAGAGGUGAGUGGAACUGCGAGUGUAGAGGUGAAAUUCGUAGAUAUUCGCAAGAACACCAGUGGCGAAGGCGGCUCACUGGCCCGAUACUGACGCUGAGGCACGAAAGCGUGGGAGCGAACAGG
rnacentral:rRNA from 1 species